CCCUUUAAUGUUUGAUGUUCUAACGUUGGCCCCUUACCGGGGUUGCGGACAGUGUCUGGUGGGUAGUUUGACUGGGGCGGUCUCCUCCCAAAGCGUAACGGAGGAGCACGAAGGUUAGCUAAUCCUGGUCGGACAUCAGGAGGUUAGUGCAAUGGCAUAAGCUAGCUUGACUGCGAGCGUGACGGCGCGAGCAGGUGCGAAAGCAGGUCAUAGUGAUCCGGUGGUUCUGAAUGGAAGGGCCAUCGCUCAACGGAUAAAAGGUACUCCGGGGAUAACAGGCUGAUACCGCCCAAGAGUUCAUAUCGACGGCGGUGUUUGGCACCUCGAUGUCGGCUCAUCACAUCCUGGGGCUGAAGUAGGUCCCAAGGGUAUGGCUGUUCGCCAUUUAAAGUGGUACGCGAGCUGGGUUUAGAACGUCGUGAGACAGUUCGGUCCCUAUCUGCCGUGGGCGCUGGAGAAUUGAGGGGGGCUGCUCCUAGUACGAGAGGACCGGAGUGGACGCAUCACUGGUGUUCGGGUUGUCAUGCCAAUGGCACUGCCCGGUAGCUAAAUGCGGAAGAGAUAAGUGCUGAAAGCAUCUAAGCACGAAACUUGCCCCGAGAUGAGUUCUCCCUGAGACUUUAAGUCUCCUGAAGGAACGUUGAAGACGACGACGUUGAUAGGCCGGGUGUGUAAGCGCAGCGAUGCGUUGAGCUAACCGGUACUAAUGAACCGUGAGGCUUAACCUU
rnacentral:ncRNA from 1 species